GGAAGACUCACAUAGAGGCAGCAGUAGAGAAUCUUGUGCAAUAAACGAAAGUAUGACACAGAGAGGAUACAUUUAAUUGAGCCCGUCAAAUUAAGUGCCAGCCGACGCGGUUAAACUUAAGGGCUGGUCUUUAUAAGUAAAAAGGCGUAAAGGAUGUGUAGGCUAAAAAACGAUCCAAGUAGGUAAAUGGAAUUUUUUUGGAGCGGUAGAAUGUGAGGAUAGAAAAUAGAACCCCAAAGGUAAAAACUAUUUACUACAAGGUAGGCUGAUACAUGGGAGUGUGGGGAGCAAACAGGAUUAGAGACCCUGGUAGUCCACACUGUGAACUUUGAAGAUGAUGCUUAGCAGGCCCGAAAGGUAAAAUCUUCCGCCUGAGUAGUACGAUCGCAAGAUUAAAAUUCAAAAACUUUGGCUGUUCACUAUUUCGAUUAGAGGAGCGUGUAGUUUAAUUCGAUGGUCCGCGUGUUACCUUACCUCAACUUGAAUCUAUGACCGGUAUUGCAUGGCCGUCGUAAGUUCGUGUAUUAAGCUAGAAGGGACCCAACCCGGGCAUUUGCCCGGAGGAAGUCAGGUCUUAUGAUCCGAAUGUUGGGGGAUUUUAUGCGCUACAUUUUCUUAUAUAAUGAGAAACCUGGAAGGUGAGUCUCUAAAGUAAGAGUUCGGAAGGUCGCUGUAAGACGACUGGAAGUUGAAUUUAAUAGUAAUCGGAAAGUAGGGCGUUCCGGUGAAUUGGUACAAGUGUUAGCACAAAUUGCCCGUCACCUUUACUUAGAAUGGUUAUUCGGACGUCUUCGGUGAUUACGAAUGCCUACGAGGUAAAGCAA
rnacentral:rRNA from 1 species